rnacentral:rRNA from 1 species
GAUGAACGCUGGCGGCGUGCCUAAUACAUGCAAGUCGAGCGAACAGACGAGGAGCUUGCUCCUCUGACGCUAGCGGCGGACGGGUGAGUAACACGUGGAUAACCUACCUAUAAGACUGGGAUAACUUCGGGAAACCGGAGCUAAUACCGGAUAACAUGUUGAACCGCAUGGUUCAACAGGAAAGACGGUCUUGCUGUCACUUAUAGAUGGAUCCGCGCCGCAUUAGCUAGUUGGUAAGGUAACGGCUUACCAAGGCAACGAUGCGUAGCCGACCUGAGAGGGUGAUCGGCCACACUGGAACUGAGACACGGUCCAGACUCCUACGGGAGGCAGCAGUAGGGAAUCUUCCGCAAUGGGCGAAAGCCUGACGGAGCAACGCCGCGUGAGUGAAGAAGGUCUUCGGAUCGUAAAACUCUGUUAUUAGGGAAGAACAAAUGUGUAAGUAACUAUGCACGUCUUGACGGUACCUAAUCAGAAAGCCACGGCUAACUACGUG